CUCUGGCUUCCUUUGCACUGUCUGUAUUUACACGGCUUUUCUACACAUAAUUCUCUCUCUCUCUGCCUCUCUUGUUGUGACAUACGUCUUGGUUAAGGGGGAGGAUGGGUCAGAAGUUUGUGCAGCCGCUCACUGAGGGCUGGCUAGCGUGUGAGAAAAAGGGAGGGGGAAAAAGGCAAGGUGCAGAAAGUACUCAUAACACUCUGACUCAUAACACUCUGAUUGGUGGGCUUGAAAUCCAUUCAAUCACAGUGCUCUGUGUCAUUUUACACAGCGUGGAAAAGUUCUUUGGAAUUUCUCCAUGCUGUGUUGUAACGGACCGUUUUGCACACAAGAGGUUAAAACCCGCUUAGGUGAUAUUCC